UUAUAUUGUGCCAUCAAUAUUUGUGUUGAAAUAAAACUGGGCUUUGUAGAACUUGGGAGUCAGAUCGUUCAGCUGAGCCCAAGUAUUUCUGUGGCCCAAAGUGAGAGAAAAGUAGCAGACACUUAAAACAUUUCAACGUCACUCUUUCUCUCACUUCCUCGUAUACUCAGAACCCUAAGAUGGUUCUUGUUCUCUCUGUUCAUCUUGACAAUCCGAGUACCUUCACAUUUUCCGGUCAAAAUUUUAUCACCGGCACUGGAACUUGUUUCUCCAACCAGAACAGAAUGCCCUAACUUACUUUGGAGGUUCAUGCAACUAUCUUUGUUUUUAUAAUCCGAAAAUCGACAAUUUUAUACACUUGGCAAUAUAUUUGUUUAUUCAGAGAUCAAUGCUAGCUCUUUCAAAUGAAAUGUGGUAGACCUUCGCGAGAUAUUAAUGCUUGCUAUCUUUCAACUACUUGUUUAUCGCGCAUAUUUUUCUUUUAUCUUCUCUCCGAAAGAACAGAAUACCCUAACUUACUUUGGAGGUUCACGCAACUCUAUUUGUUUGUAUAGUCUGAAUAUCGACAAUUUUAUACACAUGCUAACAUAUUCAUUUAUUCGGAGAUCAAUGCUAACUCUUUUAAAUGAAACGUGGUAGACCUUCGCGAGAUAUUAAUGCUUGCUAUCUUUCAACUACUUGUUUGUCGCCCAUAUUUUCCUUUCAUAUUCUCUUGGAAAGAAAAGAAGAGGAGAGGAAAGGAAAAAAAAGGAAAAAAGAUUUUUUCUGUAAGAAAUUUCAGAUGAUGAUGCUUUUGCAAGAAGAGAGCUACAAGGUCUGUUCAGACACGUUUUAGCGACAAAUCAGUUGGUCACACAUGAAGAGCGUGAACAUUAAUAGUACUUGAGUUGAAGAAAAAAUCCGUCCAUAGUAAAAACUUCAACAGGACAAUUGUUGGGGGUAGCCCAAGGAAAGGACGACACGAGUAAACCAGCUUUGGAUAAGGAAGGAUCAGCGAUUGGGUUCAAGAAAACUUUUCGUUUUCAUGAAGAAAGUACUACUGGUGUGUACUGGAUUAUGAAAGAAUACAGCCUUAACGAAACCAUAAUGGAGGGGUUAAGACAACAUGGAGAAAUCCGACAUGAAGACUCUAGCAUUACGAGGAAGGUUAGUUUGUGUAAAAAUUCUCAGGAUGUCCCCUUGGGAAUCAAGAAUGUAGUUACCAAUCCAUGGCCGCUAUAUCCCGCUUUAACUGCACUUCCACCAUUUAAUGGACCGUUUGAGUCCUUAACUGAAGAAGAAUUGGCCUUCUUUGAUAAGCUUGAUCUUGGAUAUCCACAAGCAUAUGAGAACAAGAAAGAAUGAUAAGAGUAGAAAGUAUGAACCAUGUUGUAUAUAGCACAUUCAACUAUAUAUUCUGCUCGUUAUAGUUAGAAUAUUACAGUUGUUUUAGUUAGACUUAAUACAUAGAUAUACAUCUUAACUUGGCCUCCAACUUUAAGAAUGCAUAUCUAGACACCUCUCGUGGACACCCAACGCUGACGUGGCACAUAAACUUUGGAGGUUUCUAGAUGAUCAUUUUGUAAGUUUGAAGUGUUCAGUUGACACAAUGGAGAGGUGUCUAGAUGAUCAUUUUAUAAGUUGAGGUGUAUAGAUAUGCAUUCUCAAAGUUGAAGUGGUUAGUUGCCAGUAGAGGCCAAAUUUACGUAUCUAUCUAUGUGUCAUGCCUUUAGAUACUUUGUACAAACUUCCAGUGCAUGAGUAAAAGUAUGGACUUUAAUUUGUUUUGCAAAAAGUUUGGAGAAAAGAGGCACACCAUUGCUUUUGUUUUUUAUACCAGGGAUGCUCAAUUGCAUUAUUUCAAACAUUAAUCAUAAAAUAACUAUGUAAGCUUUUACUUUUGAUUUGAGCAAUUAGAACUAUAGAAUCAUAAAGUAAAAGGAGGAGAAUUCCAAAAUAUUUGUACAUGGGAGAAAAUCUACCAGCUUUUUCUUUGCUUUUCCCAAAUUGUCGCAACCCCACCCUGAUGUCCAUAAAUAAUAUAGGGAAAGUUACGAACAGUUCGGCCAUCUAAUUUACACACUUUCUAUACAUUUUGGCUGUAUAAAGGAAUUGAGGUAGUGGUGGCGGCAGCGAAGGCGGAGAGUUGGCCGCAGUUACUGUGAAGGC